rnacentral:rRNA from 1 species
UACGGAGGGUGCGAGCGUUGUCCGGAAUCAUUGGGCGUAAAGGGCGCGUAGGUGGCCCGGUCAGUCUUUGGUGAAAGCGCGGGGCUCAACCCUGCGUCGGCCAGGGAUACUGCCGCGGCUCGAGCACUGUAGAGGCAGGCGGAAUUCCGGGUGUAGCGGUGGAAUGCGUAGAGAUCCGGAAGAACACCGGUGGCGAAGGCGGCCUGCUGGGCAGUUUGGCUGACACUGAGGCGCGACAGCGUGGGUAGCAAACAGG